rnacentral:rRNA from 1 species
GGCGUGCUUAACACAUGCAAGUCACGGGGGCCCAAGGCGCAAGCCGUGGGUGACCGGCGAACGGGUGCGUAACACGUGAGCGACCUGCCGAGAUGAGGGGGAUAGCCGUCCCAACGGACGGGUAAUACCGCAUACGCUCUUACUGGUGCAUGCCAGUUUGAGGAAACCUCCGGGGCAUUUCGAGGGGCUCGCGGCCUAUCAGCUAGUUGGUGGGGUAAUGGCUCACCAAGGCUACGACGGGUAGCUGGUCUGAGAGGAUGGCCAGCCACAUUGGGACUGAGAGACGGCCCAGACUCCUACGGGAGGCAGCAGUGGGGAAUAUUGCGCAAUGGCCGCAAGGCUGACGCAGCGACGCCGCGUGUAGGAUGAAGCUUUUCGGAGUGUAAACUACUGUUGCCCGGGACGAACAUCCUCUUUUUGGGGGACUGACGGUACCGGGUGAGGAAGCACCGGCUAACUCCGUGCCAGCAGCCGCGGUAAUACGGAGGGUGCGA